rnacentral:rRNA from 1 species
AGCACGUAGGUGGGUUUGUAAGUCAGAUGUGAAAGCCUUCUGUUCAACGGGGGAAUUGCAUCUGAAACUACAGACCUUGAGUGUAGGAGGGGAGAAUGGAACUUCUGGUGGAGCGGUGAAAUGCGUAGAUAUCAGAAGGAACGCCGGCGGCGAAAGCGAUUCUCUGGCCUAUUACUGACACUCAGUGUGCGAAAGCUAGGGGAGCAAACGGGAUUAGAUACCCCGGUAGUCCUAGCCGUAAACGAUGGGCACUAAGUAGAGGGGUUUU